rnacentral:rRNA from 1 species
UACGUAGGGUGCGAGCGUUAAUCGGAAUUACUGGGCGUAAAGCGUGCGCAGGCGGUUUGCUAAGACCGAUGUGAAAUCCCCGGGCUUAACCUGGGAACUGCAUUUGUGACUGCAUCGCUGGAGUGCGGCAGAGGGGGAUGGAAUUCCGCGUGUAGCAGUGAAAUGCGUAGAUAUGCGGAGGAACACCGAUGGCGAAGGCGGGUCUCUGGGCCGAUACUGACACUGAGGAGCGAAAGCGUGGGGAGCGAACAGG